AUCAACAAAACUGCCAUUUUCUGUAGUAAGUGAUGAUAUAU
rnacentral:guide_RNA from 1 species